rnacentral:siRNA from 1 species
AAUAUACAGCCCAGUAGAAGUGC